rnacentral:rRNA from 1 species
CGACCCCAGGAUGGGCGGGAUCGCCCG